UUCUCCUGUAAGGGGAGCUCCUUCGGGGGCUGAGAGGAUAUUUGGUCGACCCUUGGAACCUGAUCCGGGUAAUGCCGGCGGAGGGACUAUUUAUGAAAGGUACA
rnacentral:ncRNA from 2 species